GGGUCACUUAGUAGGGAUUUUAACUAAGUAUAAAUAAGCUAAUAAGUAAAUAGGCACAUAAAAGAGAAAAGGAGGAGGAAUUAAAAAACUUAGGUCAUUGGGCCCAAAUCAACGAAACCUGUCCUACUCUAAUUGGGCUUUCAACACAUUUUUCACCUGUCCUAAUCUAUGUUUUUGAGACUUUUUGGCCCAAAAUCUGCUUCACCUGUAUUAAAAUACAACUUUGGCUUCGAGGCCUAAAUGAAUGACUUAAACAGAUGAAUAAAUAAAUAAAUAUAAUAAGAAAUAAAAUAAUAAGAGAGUGAGACUUUCAAGUCUCUUUGUCGCUUCAACGAUGGGAUUUUAACCCAUUUCUUCUUCUUUCAUCUCUUGCAUCUGCACCUCAUGUAUCGUCCUAUUAAACCUUAUUUGAAAGUCAUCUUUUUAAAAAAAGUGGGCCUCAAUGGCCCAUUGCAUAAUGCAAGGAGAAAUGGUCCAUUUGGACUCCUGAACGGGUUCAUGCAAAGAAAAGGAUGAAGAAAUUAAUAUUUAUUUGAAACACAAUGUGACAUGCUUCUAAAUAGAAGAAAAUAUCAAGAGAUAAUUUUUGAAUGACAAUGAUGAGCACACUUACACACAUAUGGUAAAAAUGAGAGUCAAAAAGUGAAAUGCAAAGCAAGAAAGCACAUCUCCAUGCCUUAUGAUUUAUACUCAUGUUAAGGAUAAAGAUGAAAGGAAAAAGACUAUACUUAAGGAAUUAAUGCAAGAACAAUCAACGUAAGAUUUCAAAGGUAAAGAGGUGAGGUAAGUAAAAAAAAUCAUCUUUUUUAACACAAUCACAAACAUUAACCCAUGUAACACAGAAGAAAGUGGGGGCUAACCUUUAAUAAAGGGAAUCAUCAAACUCCAAAGACAUAUUAACAACGAUUCAUACAUUUAAGUUAGGGCCAAUAUUUCAGGGAAAAACAUGUAACAACCCAUAGUUAUCCUUUUGAGGUGCCAACGAUCCUCUUUGAUAUUAUGAACCAAAGGGAGCCGCGAGUAAAACCUUUUCGUACAAAUCAUAUACGGCAAUCCAAACGAAAUAAGAAAACUAGAAUGAAACUUUAGCAUCCGUCAUAGUUCAAGAAACCACAUUAUUCAUUAUUCAAAAAAUAUCCAAAUAAUUUCAUUUAACCAAAAAAUAUCCAUACUUAAACUAGUAAAGCCUUUACGGAACACAAAAAGAAGAGGAAAAAAACAUAGAUGUUUAACGGGGAAUGAGGAGAAACGAAAAGAAGAAUACAAAUGAAUGAACAAAUUACAAAUUUUGAAUCAAUGAAAACUUCUUUUUUUUAUCACGACCUUACAAAAUCCUUAUAGGUUUUAGUCCAUGAGCAUGAAAAUUGAAUUCAAGAGACAAAGAAAUUGCUAAAAUAACACCAUUCGAACAAACUAUAUCCUAAGUUAUAUUAAUCAUACCCAAAGGUGUGUUAACUCAAUAAUUAAAUGAUGCGAGUAUCAAAAUAAAAUCACAAAAAGCACAAUUAACCAUUUAUCACAGUAGCGUGACAAAGUUAUAAUAUGUGACUCGAGUAAGGAGAAAACAGUCAGCAGAUGCAAGAUAUAACAUACAGAACAACAUACUAUGGGAGGCGAAAUGCGAGUAACUAGAGUUUAAGAAUUAAGACGAUAAUUCCGGUCAAUAUUCUAACCUAAAAUAGACAACAGGAAGCUAAGGAAUGGCAAGUCAGACCACAAUAUGACAUAAUAAUUUAAUAAAAGUUCAUCACUACAGAGGUUUUUGCAAGCAGAAUUACGCAUACAUUAUGAAAUUCAGACACUGAACUUGAAGUCAAAAAGAAACUCUUCUUUAGUGCUCAUCAAAUAGAAACUGGAAUCUAAACUUUUACCACAAGAAUCAUCAAUUCUCAAUAAUAAACUAACAAGAAAAAGUUAGAAUCUCAACGAUCUAUAUAUAUGCUAAUUCAUAUUGUAAAAUUAUGGGUAAUCGACACCAAUAAACAUGAAACAAUAGAUUCAAACAUUAUUAAGUGUACGUGGCCUAUCAAUAUCGUUAACAGAUAAUAGUGAACUCAUUCAAGACAGUCGAACCAAAAUUUAACAUAGUCAUUGCUUCCGCAAAACAGAACAACUACAAAUCCUACGGCUCUCAUAGCCAUCUACAGCUACUCCCAGCAAACAACAUAACAAUACAACAUUACAGAGAAGGAGAUGAAGAAAAAGAAAACUGUAAUAUAAAUUAAAAUAGGAAAGGUGUUUACCUCUUUCAAAGCAGCAAAACAAGACAACGAGCUACCGUCGGACUCC
rnacentral:lncRNA from 1 species